ACUCGACAGAGGUGUCUUCACAUAUCAAGGUGACAUACACGGAAAAGAUUUUGGAAGAUUUAUGCUCCAAAGACAAAGUCCUUUAAGUGCGGGCGCAGAUCAUCCCAAUCACUUCUAUGGUACAAACAGCAGUUCUGUUGCAGCUGCAAUCCUGGUACCGUUCUUUGCUCUAAUAUUAUCAGGGUUUGCAUUUUACCUCUACAAACACAGAACAAGACCAAAAGUGCCAGUACAAUGGUUAUGCUGGACAUGAAAACAGCAAUGGACAAGCGUCAUUUGAAAAUCCUAUGUAUGAUACAAACUUAAAACCCACAGAGGCAAAAGCUGUGAGGUUUGACACAACUCUGAACACAGUUUGUACAGUGGUAUAGCCUUCAG